rnacentral:rRNA from 1 species
UUCGAUUAGCGGCGGACGGGUGAGUAAUGCCUAGGAAUCUGCCUGGUAGUGGGGGACAACGUUUCGAAAGGAACGCUAAUACCGCAUACGUCCUACGGGAGAAAGCAGGGGACCUUCGGGCCUUGCGCUAUCAGAUGAGCCUAGGUCGGAUUAGCUUGUUGGUGAGGUAAUGGCUCACCAAGGCGACGAUCCGUAACUGGUCUGAGAGGAUGAUCAGUCACACUGGAACUGAGACACGGUCCAGACUCCUACGGGAGGCAGCAGUGGGGAAUAUUGGACAAUGGGCGAAAGCCUGAUCCAGCCAUGCCGCGUGUGUGAAGAAGGUCUUCGGAUUGUAAAGCACUUUAAGUUGGGAGGAAGGGCAGCCAGCGAAUACCUGGUUGUUUUGACGUUACCGACAGAAUAAGCACCGGCUAACUCUGUGCCAGCAGCCGCGGUAAUACAGAGGGUGCAAGCGUUAAUCGGAAUUACUGGGCGUAAAGCGCGCGUAGGUGGUUUGUUAAGUUGGAUGUGAAAUCCCCGGGCUCAACCUGGGAACUGCAUCCAAAACUGGCAAGCUAGAGUAUGGUAGAGGGUGGUGGAAUUUCCUGUGUAGCGGUGAAAUGCGUAGAUAUAGGAAGGAACACCA